UGUGCUUUUAUUAGAAGAGUAUAAAAGUUUACAACAAACAUCAUGAUACAAAAAAGGUUACAAAGAAGACCAAAUCAAUUACACAUGAUUCUAGCCAUUGACUAAUAAAAGGUUCAUAAUUCUUCUUUGCUCGAAGGAUAACUUUUAAGUGCCUUCUUGCAUUUUGAAUGGUCGGCUGAAUAUGCCUUAAGAUCGCAUCAUUUCUAACCGACGAGAUGGUCCAACACAUGGAAAGGAAUGGCUGACUGAUUUUCUGAAAGAGGUGAUUGUUUGAAAGGGAUUGGUAGAGUCUUCAAUGGUUAAACCCAAAGUGGCCCAACAGUCCACUGCAAAGAACAUUAUUACAUUAGCAUUAGUCACCAAUGAAAAGAUCCUCUCUCGUCUCCUUCGGUGCGCGUUGAAGUCAAAAUCUUUGGAGAAAAAAAACUGAUGAUCCCAAGAUGGAGACGAGAGAUAUAUGGUGACCCAAUUUGAUCCCCAGUAAAUACCAACCGAAGCUAUUUCCUACCUGCUCUCCUAUCUCCUUCCGCUCCUCACACAGCAGGCUUGAUUUUUUCCCCCCAAGAAGAUGGAGACUGCCAUCUCUGCAGUGAUUGGCGAGGUCGUGAGCCAGUU
rnacentral:lncRNA from 1 species